rnacentral:rRNA from 1 species
AUUGAACGCUGGCGGCAGGCCUAACACAUGCAAGUCGAACGAGUGGCGGACGGGUGAGUAAUGUCUGGGAAACUGCCUGAUGGCGGGGGAUAACUCCUGGAAACGGUAGCUAAUACCGCACACCCUCAGAUGUGCCCAGAUGGGAGUAGCUCGUUGGUGGGGUAACGGCUCACCAAGGCGACGCUCCCCAGCUGGUCUGAGAGGAUGACCAUCCACACUGGAACUGAGACACGGUCCAGACUCCUACGGGAGGCAGCAGUGGGGAAUAUUGCACAAUGGGCGAAAGCCUGAUGCAGCCAUGCCGCGUGUGUGAAGAAGGCCUUCGGGUUGUAAAGCACUUUCAGCGGGGAGGCGUUACCCGCAGAAGAAGCACCGGCUAACUCCGUGCCAGCCGCCGCGGUAAUAC